rnacentral:rRNA from 1 species
ACGAACGCUGGCGGCGUGCUUAACACAUGCAAGUCGAACGGAAAGGCCCUGCUUUUGUGGGGUGCUCGAGUGGCGAACGGGUGAGUAACACGUGAGUAACCUGCCCUUGACUUUGGGAUAACUUCAGGAAACUGGGGCUAAUACCGGAUAGGAGCUCCUGCUGCAUGGUGGGGGUUGGAAAGUUUCGGCGGUUGGGGAUGGACUCGCGGCUUAUCAGCUUGUUGGUGGGGUAGUGGCUUACCAAGGCUUUGACGGGUAGCCGGCCUGAGAGGGUGACCGGCCACAUUGGGACUGAGAUACGGACCAGACUCCUACGGGAGGCAGCAGUGGGGAAUAUUGCACAAUGAGCGGAAGCCUGAUGCAGCAACGCCGCGUGCGGGAUGACGGCCUUCGGGUUGUAAACCGCUUUCGCCUGUGACGAAGCGUGAGUGACGGUAAUGGGUAAAGAAGCACCGGCUAACUACGUG